rnacentral:rRNA from 1 species
UACAGAGGGUGCAAGCGUUAAUCGGAAUUACUGGGCGUAAAGCGUGCGUAGACGGUAGCGUAAGUCGGGUGUGAAAGCCCCGGGCUCAACCUGGGAAUUGCAUUCGAGACUGCUCUGCUAGGGUGCGGAAGAGGGGAGCGGAAUUUCCGGUGUAGCGGUGAAAUGCGUAGAUAUCGGGAGGAACACCAGUGGCGAAGGCGACUUCCUGGCCUGUUCUUGACGCUGAGGCGCGAAAGCUAGGGGAGCAAACGGG